rnacentral:siRNA from 1 species
AUCACUAUGUACUAACCGCAAGGU